rnacentral:rRNA from 1 species
AUUGAACGCUGGCGGCAGGCCUAACACAUGCAAGUCGAACGAGUGGCGGACGGGUUAGUAAUGUCUGGGAAACUGCCCGAUGGAUGGGGAUAACUACUGGAAACUGUAGCUAAUUCCGCAUUCCAUCACAGGUGCCCAGAUGGGAUUAGCUUGUGGGUGGGGAAACGGCUCACCAAGGCGACGAUCCCUAGCUGGUCUGAGAGGAUGACCAGCCACACUGGAACUGAGACACGGUCCAGACUCCUACGGGAGGCAGCAGUGGGGAAUAUUGCACAAUGGGCGCAAGCCUGAUGCAGCCAUGCCGCGUGUAUGAAGAAGGCCUUCGGGUUGUAAAGUACUUUCAGCGGGGAAGCGGUACCCGCAGAAGAAGCACCGGCUAACUACGUGCCAGCAGCCGCGGUAAUUC